UGUAUAUUUUGUUUUGAUUGUUCAAAAGAACGACGAAGAGCGAUCACAGUUCAUUUUGCUGCAAAACAACACGGUUCUGGUAGCUGCAGCUACAUUUCACGUAGAAAAAUGAGAUCGGACCAGAUACAAGACGUUAUACUAAACAAGGAGCAACCAUCAACAAGUUCAGUCACAUCUUUCACACCGGAAAACGAUUUUCCAAAUCAAUUCAAAUGCCGGAUUUGUGAUGAACAAUUUUCUGACGAGGAUUGUCUACAUAAGCACCUUUUUUCGCAUGGAAAAACAAUACGAUUUAGUUGUGAUAUUUGCGGAAAAAGUUAUUCUUUUAAGAAAAAUUUAAGGAGACAUAUGAUCGUCCAUGCUGCAAACAAGCCGUUUGCGUGUGAUGUAUGCGGCAAAGAAUUACGUGACAAGCAAGCAUUGAAGUACCACAACAAUAUCCACACCGGAGAGCGGCCGUACACAUGCACUGUAUGCGGAAAAGAUUUCCACGUUCAAUCGAGUCUCGACUCUCACAUGCGUUUUCAUACAGGCCAGCGGUCUUACAAAUGCACUGUAUGUGGAAAAAGUUAUAUCACUAAUGCUCAACUAAGCCAACACAUGGCUACACAUACGGGUGAUUAUAAUUACAAGUGUGAUGUGUGCGACAAAGGAUUCAUGCUAGAAUCACGUUUGAAAGACCACAAAAACAGUCAUACAGGAGAACGUCCGUACAAAUGCACUGUUUGCGGAAAAAGUUUUGCUAGCAACAGUAGUCUUGGUGUACACACGUCUGCACAUACGGGUCUUUUCAAAUAUAGUUGUGAUGUAUGUGGCAAAGGAUUUCGUGACAACCAGGAAUUGAAGUACCACAACAAUAUUCACACCGGAGAGCGACCGUACAAAUGCACUGUUUGCGGCAAAGAUUUCCACUCUCAAACGAAUCUUGUCCAACACAUGCACCUUCAUGAAGGCAAGCACAAGUGCACGGUAUGUGACAAAAUGUUUACCUCUAACGCUAUACUAAACAGACACAUGUCUUCACAUACUGGUUCUUAUAAAUAUACUUGUGAUGUGUGCGGUAAAGGCUUCGCGUUUAGAAUGUUUUUGAAAAACCACAAAAACAUUCAUACAGGAGAGCGUCCGUAUAAAUGCAGUAUAUGCGAAAAAGAUUUUGCCAAUAGGCGUGCCCUAACCAUUCAUAUGUCAAUUCACACGGGUGGUCGAUAUGAAUGUGAAGUGUGCGGCAAAGAUUACUCUAGAAAAUUUAACUUGAAAUUGCACAAACGCAUUCAUACAUCUGAUCAGUCGAUCGAUUCGUUACCAAACGAACCAACAGAUCACGAAAGCGUCAUUCUACCAAAACUCGAUGACAAUGUCAAGGUGAAUGAAUAAGCCAAAACCAAUGGCAACAGCGACGCAUUCGAUUUACAACCGUACCUUCAAGUCGACCAACGAGCAUCAUGGCCGCAACGUAGUGUCGAACAGAAGAUAUCGACCGAAUAAAUGCGCAAGUAACACUUAAUUUCCACACUAUUUUUGCAAGAGAAAAAACAACAACAAACCGUUCCAGCAAAUUAAACGAAUAUUUCGUGCAAUAUGUCGUUCAACAAGCGCUCAAAGACCAACAAAAUUGAACGGCCUGCUGAGAGGGAAGCCAUUUCACUACACUCCAGCUAGAGGAAUGGAUGAUGCUGAAUAAGGUAGGCCGUUUUGUUAAUUUCCAUCGAAUUUCAAUAGUGUAUGUUGGGAUUCUAAGAAGAACUGGUUA